UACGGGGGGAGCAAGCGUUGUUCGGAUUUACUGGGCGUAAAGGGCGCGUAGGCGGCCAGCACAAGUCAGUUGUGAAAUCUCCGAGCUUAACUCGGAAAGGUCAACUGAUACUGUGCGGCUAGAGUGCGGAAGGGGCAACUGGAAUUUACGGUGUAGCGGUGAAAUGCGUAGAUAUCGUAAGGAAGACCAGUGGCGAAGGCGGGUCUCUGGACAGUUCCUGACGCUGAGGCACGAAGGUCAGGGGAGCAAACGGG
rnacentral:rRNA from 1 species